GAAGCAGAGGACAUGUGCCGCCCUGGGCCAACGGGCAACAGAAGCAGAAGUAGCAGCGGCGGCGCCGGUGCAGCGAAGAGGGCGGGUCCUCCAUCAUCAGUCCGCCAGCUCAAGGAGGGGAAUAGCAGCUCGCAGCAGCCUCUCGGGGUCUCUAACUGUCUUCCCAAUAGAACUACAAAUAAUGCACUGUAAACGCACCAGCAGAGAGAGUAAUUCCUCCAUGAUCUGGGACACAAAUCUGGAUGGAGAUGCAGAAAAAACACAGCUAAACACCCAACUAUUAUGUCAUGCUUUGACUCUGAUUAAAGAUAUUUGAAAUAGAUUAACAGAGGAAUAAAACAGCGACCAGGGCGAUCGUUCUACAAAAUAUAUGAUAAUCUCAUAUACAUUCGUAGUACAAUCAAAAAUAAAAAUAUGAAUUAGAAGGAAAUGCAUUACUUUCCAUUUUUUAGUACUUCAGGAAUGUAGAAGGACAAGUUGUAUAACGUGACAUCAGACCAGCAACUUCCUUGAAUCAAGCAUGCUUAUAUCAUUUCAUAAUAUGAGCUUGCACACAAGACUCAAACGGGAGCAUGAGGUAGGCCGUUUCUUCUAGCUAGUUAUAAGAUUGAUGUGGUGUAUUGAUAAAAAUAUAAUGGAAUUAUCACCAUGAACUAUACCCUAUGCAAGGUACAUAUACAGAAACAACUACAGAGGGACCAUGUUAAAACUGUUCUAGAAGGGGAGAUAAUAGAACAGCAUAGAAUCCUUCCUCCUGAAGCCUCGUAUAGUGUGUGCGCUUGAGAUCGCGCUUGAGAUCUCUUCCUAUCAAGCUCCUCACUAAAAGAGAAUAAUAAUAGUAAUAAAAAAUCAUGGAUAAUAAAUAGUACUGCAUUGGUAAUGUAUACAUAAGGGGCCUUGCAAACAGGUCUAAACUGCAGAAAGAUAUUUUUAUGUUCAUCCUCUUUUCUGGCAAGAGCUAUUAAUCGUUUCAAAUGGUGGAUUAUGUAGAUUAUCAUUUGUGAUUAUAAUCACAAGGACAGUACAGUGUAAUAGAUAUAAAAACAGAACAUGGUAGUAUAAUUUAUUUUUAAUAGUCCCUGACAUGAAAACAUGACAAAGGGGGGAAUUUCCCUGUCCAACAAUGUCUACCGUCAAUUAAAAGAACGACAAUUGAUCACCAAACCUAUGGAGUACUGAAUUUUCCUUUCAUUCCAGAACUUGUACUAUUCAAGACAACAACAUUUCAAGUGCACUUAAAUAUGUUUAACAAAAUGAAUGGUAAAUAAAUAAACAUACCCAGGGGAUGCACGUUCUGCCCGUCCUUUAGAAUGUAGAGUGGUUUGUCCAUAUGGUACACAUAUGACAUCUCUUCCUCAGAACUUAGUGUUUGCCCAUAUGGCACAAAAUAGCAUCGGAAGAUUUACAGAUCGACGCCACAGAGCAUAGACACAAAUUCACCUACGGGUUGGAAGCAUAGGUAAAAAAACUUGAUUUAAUCACCAUGCAUAUAACCACUGUACCUCAUUCCUCCAAUGAAAUCAGUCAAUGGUUCUCCUAACUUCUUUCUUAUAAAAUACAGCCGAGCAAUGUGGUGUGUUCGAAUUUCAAUUGCACUUGGAGCAACGCAAUCAGGUUGUUCCGAGCAGUACCAUAUGGUCCAUAGAUAGCACACAGCUACCUCCAAUAUCUAACUGCUAUACAAAAAAAUACUGGAAAUAGUAAGAGCGAAGAGCAGACCAGCAAACGAAAUCGCUGGAAGAAAGAACAUCACGAGUUCAGUCAUUUCCUGCCAACCGGGGG
rnacentral:lncRNA from 1 species